rnacentral:rRNA from 1 species
GACGAACGCUGGCGGCGUGCUUAACACAUGCAAGUCGAACGGUGAUGCUCCAGCUUGCUGGAGUGGAUCAGUGGCGAACGGAUGAGUAACACGUGAGCAACCUGCCCCAGACUCUGGAAUAAGCGCUGGAAACGGCGUCUAAUACUGGAUACGAAACUGGCCCGCAUGGGCAUGGUUUGGAAAGUUUUUCGGGUUGGGAUGGGCUCGCGGCCUAUCAGCUUGUUGGUGAGGUAAUGGCUCACCAAGGCGACGACGGGUAGCCGGCCUGAGAGGGCGACCGGCCACACUGGGACUGAGACACGGCCCAGACUCCUACGGGAGGCAGCAGUGGGGAAUAUUGCACAAUGGGCGAAAGCCUGAUGCAGCGACGCCGCGUGGGGGAUGACGGCCUUCGGGUUGUAAACCUCUUUCAGCAGGGAAGAAGCGAAAGUGACGGUACCUGCAGAAGAAGCACCGGCUAACUACGUG